rnacentral:rRNA from 1 species
GAUGAACGCUAGCGGCAGGCCUAACACAUGCAAGUCGAACGGUAACAGGGAUUGCUUGCAAUCCGCUGACGAGUGGCGCACGGGUGCGUAACGCGUAUAGAACCUACCCUUUACAGGGGGAUAGCCCGGAGAAAUUCGGAUUAAUACCCCAUGGUAAUGCUUCGGGGCAUCCUGAAGUGUUUAAAGUUUCGGCGGUAAAGGAUGGCUACGCGUCUUAUUAGUUAGUAGGUGAGGUAACGGCUCACCUAGACAGCGAUAAGUAGGGGCCCUGAGAGGGGGAUCCCCACACUGGUACUGAGACACGGACCAGACUCCUACGGGAGGCAGCAGUGAGGAAUAUUGGACAAUGGUCGAGAGACUGAUCCAGCCAUGCCGCGUGCAGGAAGACGGCCCUAUGGGUUGUAAACUGCUUUUUUACGGGAAGAAUAAUGCCCACGUGUGGGCAGAUGACGGUACCGUAGGAAUAAGGACCGGCUAACUCCGUG